rnacentral:rRNA from 1 species
ACUCAAAGGAAUUGACGGGGACCCGCACAAGCGGUGGAACAUGUGGUUUAAUUCGAGGCAACGCGAAGAACCUUACCAGGAUUCGACAUGCCCUCUAUGGAUUCCCGAAAAGGAAUCCUUCACUUCGGGUGGGAGGAGCACAGGUGCUGCAUGGCUGUCGUCAGCUCGUGUCGUGAGAUGUUGGGUUAAGUCCCGCAACGAGCGCAACCCUCGUCCUCUGUUGCUAACAGGUUAGGCUGAGCACUCUGAGGAAACUGCCGGUGAUAAGCCGGAGGAAGGUGGGGAUGACGUCAAGUCCUCAUGGCCCUUACAUCCUGGGCUACACACGUGUUACAAUGGUGGUGACAAUGGGAAGCGAAGUCGCAAGAUGGAGCAAAUCCCCAAAAGCCACCUCAGUUCGGAUUGUACUCUGCAACUCGAGUACAUGAAGCUGGAAUCGCUAGUAAUCGUGGAUCAGCACGCCACGGUGAAUACGUUCCCGGGUCUUGCACACACCGCCCGU